rnacentral:rRNA from 1 species
AUUGAACGCUGGCGGCAGGCCUAACACAUGCAAGUCGAACGAGUGGCGGACGGGUGAGUAAUGUCUGGGAGACUGCCCGAGGGAGGGGGGUAACUACUGGAAACGGUAGCGAAUACCGCAUACCAUCGGAUUUGCGCAGAUGGGAUUAGCUAGUCGGUGGGGUAACGGCUCACCUAGGCGACGCGCCCUAGCUGGUCUGAGAGGAUGACCAGCCACACUGGAACUGAGACACGGUCCAGACUCCUACGGGAGGCAGCAGUGGGGAAUAUUGCACAAUGGGCGCAAGCCUGAUGCAGCCAUGCCGCGUGUAUGAAGAAGGCCUUAGGGUUGUAAAGUACUUUCAGCGGGGAGGCGUUACUCGCAGAAGAAGCACCGGCUAACUCCGUGCCAGCAGCCGCGGUAAUUC